UGAUUUCAUCAAUGGCAGGAUUUUCCCUUGCAGCUAGGGCGUCUUCCAGUUUAACCUGUGAGAAACAUCCAGCACAAUCUAGUGGUGAGUGAGUAGGUGAGAGUGGGAUGACACACACACAUACACACAGUGAGGCAUCAUUCAUUUGCAUGCGACUAAAACAACAUUUUUCUGUGUGUAUGUGUGUGUGAGUUGUCAGAGCAGGCAGCGCAGAUAAAGCUGAUUCGGACCACGCCUGGCCUGGUUACAUACCACUCUAACUAGCGUGGAAGAGCUUCGUUCCACCCCUGCACUCGGCUGCUCCAGUUCAAAGGUGGUGCAGAGGUUGAUGAGGUUGACGAUGAUGACGAGGAGGAAGAUGAGAGAGAGAGCCGAAGUGAGAGUCAACCCUCCGCCCGCCACCCAGCUCUGCAGAUCCGCUACGAGGGGAGCCAUAGCUCCUGUGGGCGAGACGGAACAGAGUGAGAACUGACAAGAAGCAGAAAGGCGAAGCGAGGAACACAGAAAGCUGUAAAUGAACAACAGUAUUCAGGAUCUUCAUCACUCUGAAGAAGGAGAACUCAAACCUGUAACCAGUUCUCUCUGCUUCCUGACUCACUGCUGCCCCCUUCAGAUUAGAAAAGAAGCAACAUCAGCCCUACUGAAUCAUUACAACUGGCUCUUUACAUCAAAUGUGCAUGGCGGGUGAAAUCAGUUCCUGCCAUUCUAUUAUAUGUACAAAUUCAUGAACACAUGGGGUGAUAUGUGUAUAUGUUUUCUUUUAAACAAUAAUGUCUAAUAAUACAGUUGCAAUAAUACAGUCUAACAAUACUGUCUUAUGCCAUUGAGAGUUGAACAAAUGACAACUCUAUAACUAUAAUCAUAUACACAUAAAUCUGUGCAAUGGUAUGCAAAAUAAGUCCAGAUAUUGUGGUAAAAAGUAGCAAAUAUUGAAAAACUUGUGCAACAUCUUCAUGUGCUUUCUGGGGAUGCCUUGGUGUGGCUAUAUGGCCACCAUGGUCACAUAUGAUCAUGUAAACUAUUGCAUUCAGAGUAGCCUAAAGAGAGAGGGGGGAAAGGGCAUGAUGAUGCCAGUUGGGCAGAGAUAGAAGAUGGCACGGGGGUGACUAAAGGGGCAAAAACUGGGUCAUCUAGUUAAAAGUGUCAUAGCCUAGUCUAGGGUGCAGUCGUUUUGGUUUGAAUAUUGUUUACAUGACCACAUAAGAUCAUGUAUAAGCCCCCCAUGACACAAGACAGUAAUGAAUAAUAUCCUGUAGUAGUAAAGCACUACUCUAGUUCAACUUGAAAAGAGCACUGAUCAAAUGUGACAGGAGACGAAGGACAUAAUAAGGUGUUUUCACUAAACUGAGGUCUGUUAUUUAACCAUUUAGAAUACCAUUUUGCACUUUGUAACAAGUUAUUAUUUUGAACAACAAUGAGUGAUACUACUGUAGCAUAGCAUUUGUCUUGGUAUGGGGGUUGCAUUUUGAGUAUUGGGGGAAUCUAUAUGUCCCCCUCAAAGUAUAUUAUGAUUACACCCUUGGUCUUCGUAAUAUUAUAAAGCACACCAAUAUGCCAAUAUGUCUCAUCUAAAUUGUAACAGCGUUUAAUGUUA